UAAAGUUCCUAGGAAAGAUAUAAUUGUGUUUAUUGAACAGAAAAAUGUUACUCUUAAUUAUUUCAAAAAUGUUUGGGGAAACCCAUUCCUUUGCGUGGUCAUUCUAAUUAAAAUGUGGAUCCAAACAUCUAGGCAAAAAUUGUUUAUUCAGUCAAGGCCAAAUAACAUAUAGGAAGUAAAAAUUUGGGGGGAAUAAAGCUGUAUUCUAAGCAAUUAGUAGUUGAGUUAAAGUUAUCACUUAUUUAUACAUGUCUUUUCAUUCCUGAUUUUCAAUUUUAUCAGUUCCUUUGUUCCACUUUUGUAGACUCGUUAAAAUUGACAUACAAUGAAUGUGAUGUAUUUAACAGUUGUAGUUUGAUGAGGUUUGAUAUAUCCAUAAACCUGUGAAACCAUUACCACAAACAACAUAUUCAUCACCUAUCAAAUUUCCAUUUGCUGUUUUGCAAUCUGUUCCCCUUCUUUCUACCCCAUCAAAAAUUCUCUGAUAUCUACUGAUCUGCUUUCUCACUAGGGAUUAUUCUGCAUUUUCCAGAUUUUCCCCAAACUAGAAUCAGGCAGUAUAUAAUAGGUUUGACUAAAUAAUCUUACUCAGCACAAUUAUUUUGAGUUUUAUUCAUACUGUUUUAUGUACCACUAGUUUAUUCCUUGGUGUGACUGAGUCGCAUUUCAUUGAAUUAAUAUGUUGCAGGACUUUCUCUUUAGUUCAGCUAAAAACCUGGUUCUUGUCACACCACCAGGAAAGAUGAGGCUCACAGACACUUUGAAGCGUGAGGGGGUUACAGAAUCUAAUGGGCAAAAAGGUAAAAGGAAAAACAACACAGCAAAGUGAGAGCGGUUCCUGUUAACAGUCCCCCACCUCACAGAUUGAAUCCCAGGUUACUUCACAGGGUCAGGAGAGGCCAGGCUCCUCCCCUCUGCAAAUGGUGUGAACUUCCCUAGGCUCCACCCCAUCCUCCCACUGUGUGGGCCAGUUGAAGAUUCUGCAGGGAGCCCUUUUUAUUGGAUGUCUCAUUUCCUCCCCUGAAGAAGUACAUCCAACUGCCAUUAGAAUAACGUUAAAGACAAGGCUAAAGAUUGAUCUUAACUGCUUCCUGCUGACAGGGGGUGCUGUUUUGGGGAAAACGGCAGAUCUCCCUCAGAGGCCUAUCUACAGGUUCUCAGCAGAAGAGAACAUCUUCUGAGGCUCCAGUUACAUGACAAUUUUGAGUCUGAUGGCUUGAAGGUACAACUGAUUUAACUCUACCCCAACCAUCAUGGUAGAAGCCAAUUUUGU
rnacentral:lncRNA from 1 species